rnacentral:sRNA from 1 species
AAAAAAAAGACAAAAAAAU